rnacentral:rRNA from 1 species
UACAGAGGGGGCAAGCGUUGUUCGGAAUUACUGGGCGUAAAGGGCGCGUAGGCGGCCCGCUAAGUCGAACGUGAAAUCCCCGAGCUCAACUCGGGAACUGCGUCCGAUACUGGCGGGCUUGAAUCCGGGAGAGGGAUGCGGAAUUCCAGGUGUAGCGGUGAAAUGCGCAGAUAUCAGGAAGAACACCCGUGGCGAAGGCGGCUCUCUGGGACGGUACUGACGCUGAGACGCGAAAGCGUGGGGAGCGAACAGG